rnacentral:lncRNA from 1 species
AAACACAGGCAUUGCCUCUUAAGGAGGACUUCAGACAGUUUGCCCGGUCAAAUAACAGACCGGGUCUCCAGACUACAUGAAGAAGAAGUAAUUAUACCUCAAAGCAAAUGCUAUAAAGCAAAGCAAGCAAUCAAGUUCAAAGAACUUAGGCAACUAAAGUACCUGAAAAAGUCAAACUCAUUAGUAAACAAGUCAACAAUCAAAAGCAAAAGAAAAUGAACCGAUAGUCACACAGAAGGACCAAUUGUGCAAGGCACAAAGACUCAAGCAUAUGAGUCACCUACAAAACAAGUGUUAGCACAAUAUAAACAAUUCAAAUCAAGCACAUUGGAGCGAUCCUUAAAGCAUGGGUGCUCAUCCUGAAACAACAGCUCAAUUGUAAGCUCAGAAGACCACUAGGACUAGCCUAGGGUC